GGCCCCAUGGCUUAGUUGGUUAAAGCGCCUGUCUUGUAAACAGGAGAUCCUGGGUUCGAGUCCCAGUGGGGCCU
rnacentral:tRNA from 2 species